UACGAAGGGGGCUAGCGUUGCUCGGAAUUACUGGGCGUAAAGGGCGCGUAGGCGGCACUGUUAGUCAGGCGUGAAAGUCCUGGGCUCAACCUGGGAACUGCGCUUGAUACGGCAGAGCUAGAGGAUGGAAGAGGCUCGCGGAAUUCCCAGUGUAGAGGUGAAAUUCGUAGAUAUUGGGAAGAACACCGGUGGCGAAGGCGGCGAGCUGGUCCAUUACUGACGCUCAGGCGCGAUAGCGUGGGGAUCAAACAGG
rnacentral:rRNA from 1 species